CCAAUUCCAAUGUGAAUGAGGCCACCCAACACAUCCACACAAGCUCCCAACUUGAGAGUGUCGAUGGGACACGUGUUCUUUGGUGGUGAUGGGGUUGGCACUGGUGUUGGUGGUGGUGGAGGAGGACAUGGUGUCUCAGUGGGUGGAGGAGGCUUAACUGGUACAACUGGGGUAGGUGUAGGUGUUGGUGGGCUUGGUGGUACAACAGGUGGUGAUGGUGGUGGCUUAACUGGUACAACUGGGGUAGGUGUUGGUGUUGGUGGGCUUGGUGGUACAACAGGUGGUGAUGGUGGUGGCUUAACUGGUACAACUGGGGGCUUGGGUACAUAGGGUGGUGGGGGUUGUACAACUGGGGGCUUGGGUACAUAUGGUGGUGGUGGUUGUACAACUGGGGGUUUGGGGAUGAAGGGUGGGUGCACAAUUGGGGGUUUAGGGAUAAAAGGUGGGUGCACGAUUGGGGGCUUGGGGAUGAAGGGUGGGUGCACAAUUGGGGGCUUGGGGAUGAAGGGUGGGUGCACAAUUGGGGGUUUAGGGAUGAAGGGUGGGUGCACAAUUGGGGGUUUAGGGAUGAAGGGUGGGUGCACAAUUGGGGGUUUAGGGAUGAAGGGUGGGUGCACAAUUGGGGGCUUGGGGAUGAAGGGUGGGUGCACAAUUGGGGGCUUGGGGUGGGGUGGUGGUUUGACAAUAGGAGGCUUGGGGAUGAAGGGAGGUCUCACAAUAGGUGGUUUGGGGACAGAAGGAGGUUUUGGUAUAUGGGGAGGAUAUACAAUGGGGGGUUUGGGGCCAUGAGGUGGCUUGGGUACAUGGGGUGGAUGAGGAUGAGGUGGCUUUGAUGGUGGCUUGGGAACAUAGGGAGGCUUUACAUGAGGGGGAUGGGGUGGUUUUGAUGGUGGUUUGGGAACAUAGGGAGGCUUUACAUGAGGAGGAAGAGGUGGUUUUGAUGGUGGUUUGGGAACAGAGGGAGGCUUUACAUGAGGGGGAUGAGGUGGGUGUUUAGGUGGUUUAGGGAUGAAGGGUGGCUUUACAUGAGGAGGCUGUUUGGGUGGCAAGUGUGGAGGGUAUGUUGGUGGUGGACAGUAGGAGUUAGCAAGAGAAGUGAGCAAACUACCCAAAUUCACAAUGAGGACUAAGAGCAAAGCCAGGGUAUAAUUCCCCAUGUUCAAAACUCCACAACCCUCAAAAGAGUUGG
rnacentral:lncRNA from 1 species